CAGAAAAUAGUUUAAUUUUUAGAAUUCUAGCUUUGGGAGUUAGUGGUAAGAGUUGAAAUCUCUUUUUUCUGG
rnacentral:tRNA from 1 species